GGCGAACGGGUGAGUAACGCGUUGGUGACCUGCCCCGAAGAGGGGGAUAACAGUCCGAAAGGAUUGCUAAUACCCCAUAUGGUCGUUUGGAUUAGAAGCCUUACGACUAAACGGAUUUAUUCGCUUCGGGAGGGGCCUGCGUCCCAUCAGCUAGUUGGUAAGGUAAUGGCUUACCAAGGCGAUGACGGGUAGGGGACCUGAGAGGGUGGCCCCCCACAAUGGAACUGAAACACGGUCCAUACACCUACGGGUGGCAGCAGUAGGGAAUAUUGGUAAUCUGGGAAACCGGGAGCCAGCAACGCCGCGUGCGCGAUGAAGGCCUUCGGGUUGUAAAGCGCUUUUUGAAGGGAUGAGGAAGGACAGUACCUUCAGAAUAAGCCUCGGCUAACUACGUGCCAGCAGCCGCGGUAAAACGUAGGAGGCGAGCGUUAUCCGGAUUUACUGGGCGUAAAGCGUGUGUAGGCGGUAUGAUAAGUUGGAUGUGAAAGCUCCCGGCUCAACUGGGAGAGGUCGUUCAAAACUGUCAGACUAGAGAGUGGUAGAGGGAGGUGGAAUUCCGCGUGUAGUGGUGGAAUGCGUAGAUAUGCGGAGGAACACCAGUGGCGAAAGCGGCCUCCUGGACCAUUUCUGACGCUCAGACACGAAAGCUAAGGUAGCAAACGGGAUUAGAGACCCCGGUAGUCUUAGCUGUAAACGAUGUGAACUUAGUGUCGGUGGGGUUAAAUCCAUCGGUACUGAAGCUAACGCGAUAAGUUCACCGCCUGAGGACUACGGCCGCAAGGUUAAAACUCAAAGGAAUUGACGGA
rnacentral:rRNA from 1 species